CCUACGGGGGGCAGCAGUGAGGAAUAUUGGACAAUGGGCGCAAGCCUGAUCCAGCCAUGCCGCGUGCAGGAUGACAGUCCUAUGGAUUGUAAACUGCUUUUGCACAGGAAGAAACAACAUUACGUGUAAUGUCUUGACGGUACUGUGAGAAUAAGGAUCGGCUAACUCCGUGCCAGCAGCCGCGGUAAUACGGAGGAUCCAAGCGUUAUCCGGAAUCAUUGGGUUUAAAGGGUCCGUAGGCGGUCUUAUAAGUCAGUGGUGAAAUCUCCCCGCUCAACGGGGAAACGGCCAUUGAUACUGUAGGACUUGAAUUAUUAGGAAGUAACUAGAAUAUGUAGUGUAGCGGUGAAAUGCUUAGAGAUUACAUGGAGUACCAAUUGCGAAGGCAGGUUACUACUAAUGGAUUGACGCUGAUGGACGAAAGCGUGGGUAGCGAACAGGAUUAGAUACCCUGGUAGUCCACGCCGUAAACGAUGGAUACUAGCUGUUGGAAGCAAUUUCAGUGGCUAAGCGAAAGUGAUAAGUAUCCCACCUGGGGAGUACGUUCGCAAGAAUGAAACUCAAAGGAAUUGACGGGGGCCCGCACAAGCGGUGGAGCAUGUGGUUUAAUUCGAUGAUACGCGAGGAACCUUACCAAGGCUUAAAUGUAGAUUGACCGGUUUGGAAACAGACUUUUCGCAAGACAAUUUACAAGGUGCUGCAUGGUUGUCGUCAGCUCGUGCCGUGGGGUGUCAGGUUAAGUCCUAUAACGAGCGCAACCCCUGUUGUUAGUUGCCAGCGAGUGAAGUCGGGAACUCUAACGAGACUGCCAGUGCAAACUGAGAGGAAGUGGGGAUGACGUCAAAUCAUCACGGCCCUUACGCCUUGGGCUACACACGUGCUACAAUGGCCGGUACAAAA
rnacentral:rRNA from 1 species